rnacentral:rRNA from 1 species
UCUUCCACAUGGACGAAAGUCUGAUGGAGCAACGCCGCGUGAGUGAAGAAGGGUUUCGGCUCGUAAAGCUCUGUUGGUAGUGAAGAAAGAUAGAGGUAGUAACUGGCCUUUAUUUGACGGUAAUUACUUAGAAAGUCACGGCUAACUACGUGCC